GACAGAGGAUGCAAGCGUUAUCCGGAAUGAUUGGGCGUAAAGCGUCUGUAGGUGGCUUUUUAAGUUCUCCGUCAAAUCCCAGGGCUCAACCCUGGACAGGCGGUGAAAACUACUAAGCUAGAGUACGGUAGGGGCAGAGGGAAUUUCCGGUGGAGCGAUGAAAUGCGUAGAGAUCGGAAGGAACACCAACGGCGAAAGCACUCUGCUGGGCCGACACUGACACUGAGAGACGAAAGCUAGGGGAGCAAAUGGG
rnacentral:rRNA from 1 species